ACAAGAACUACUUGUUUUUCUAUACUCUAAAUUGAGAAUUUUUAGUCUAUUUGAAUUUUAGGGCAUUCUUUGGGAAAAGUCUGAUGUAACAAGGGAAAGCUACAAAUUACAAGAAUUAUCAGAACAUCACCUUAUGAGGCGAACUACAAGAUAAAGAAUGCAAACAAAUGGAAAGGGGUAGUACUAUGAGUUAUUCCAAAAUACCAGAUUGGGGAAUCCCAUAAUUCUCGAUUUUCAGGCAUCUUGGAAUUUAUUCUUGGUGGUGGAAAAUGUAUUUAUACCCAGAAUUGGAACAAUUUGUGAUCAAAGCUUAAAAAGCAAGUACUGACUUAUUCAAAUGUAUGCUUCAUCUUAUGUUUUGAUAUUGCUAUGCCUUGCUUCAGGGCAGCCCAUUUGUUAUUCUCCCUAAAACUUUUC